rnacentral:rRNA from 1 species
UACGUAGGGUGCAAGCGUUGUCCGGAAUUAUUGGGCGUAAAGAGCUCGUAGGCGGUCUGUCGCGUCGGCUGUGAAAUCCCGAGGCUCAACCUCGGGUCUGCAGUCGAUACGGGCAAACUAGAGUAUUGCAGGGAGACUGGAAUUCCUGGUGUAGCGGUGAAUGCGCAGAUAUCAGGAGGAACACCGGUGGCGAAGGCGGGUCUCUGGGCAAUAACUGACGCUGAGGCGCGAAAGCGUGGUAGCAAACAGG